rnacentral:rRNA from 1 species
AAGCUCGUAGUUGAAUUUCGGGAUCAGACUGUCGGUCGUGCCUCGGUACGCACUGGCAUUAUUGGUUCCUACCUUCUGAAGAACCGCGAUGUCAUUAAUUUGGUGUCGCGGGGAAUCAGGACUGUUACUUUGAAAAAAUUAGAGUGUUUAAAGCAAGCUAACGCUUGAAUACAUUAGCAUGGAAUAAUGAAAUAGGACGUUCGAUCCUAUUUUGUUGGUUUCUAGGAUUGACGUAAUGAUUAAUAGGGAUAGUUGGG